CUGAAGUUGCGUAUCUUACAUUGACAUCACCCCCACCCCCUCCCACAGUGUAGACCAGCCCAAAGGCAUUUGGCAUGGGUUGCACAAAAAAGUACCAAGGGGCUCAGACAGGCUUGUAAAGCUUGGGCCAAGGCAUCCUCAAUGCUGUUAGUAAGCCAGCUAGAGUUUAAACAGAACCAAGUCCGGGAUAUCUGUCAGUAUGGAAUCAUUUGCUCAAACCUGUUGUGCACCACUUUUCCAAAUACAGUAUAACUAGUUGCCAGAACUCAUUCACACAGUACCCCCAAAACUACCGUGAAGAGAAUGUUUAACUGCAGGCAGUCCCAUGUUGUCAUUUAACACCCUUUCAGUUAGAAAAAAUACUAUGCUCUGUCCCAAGGAGAAAUAUGUAAUUGAAUCCUUUGUCAGGUCCUAGAUUAGAGCAGUUUGGGGUCCACACCUUUUUUUGUCAACAGGCUUGAGCAGGUGUAAACUGCCAGCCUAGGGCUGCACUUCAGGGGGAAAACAUACAUGCAGGAAAACCACCUCACCUCCCCAUGCAGAGUGGCUGGCUAAUUGUUCCUACUGCAGCACCCCCCUUUGUAAGUGUGACCUCUUCACUUCCACAGCCUCUUAUUACGGUUAAGGGAAAGGCUAUUCGUCACCAUGGAGAUUACUACUUUCACAUAUGCUUAAUUACAUUCUUCUAUUACUCCUUAAAAAUUGCCCAUUUUCUCACUAUUAGCAAACAAAUAAAAAUGACAAUUUUCUGUCCCAGCAUGCCUUCCUGCACUUAAAAAUAAGUGAUGUAAAUAUGCUUAUGCACAGAAAACAGCAGCUACACCUCAUCCAUGAAAGUACAUAUUGAACAGGGAGACACUUUCCAUUUGGAUGCCUGAUCAGACUAAGUAUUUCCACAUUAAAACUAACCACACAGGAUCACUCAGUCAUGGGUCAAUGAAUAGAGAAGUUUGACUCAAACUUUCAUGCCUAAAUCAAAUUUCCAGACACUCUGCACAUCAGUCUCAUGUCAUUCAAUCUGCCAGACCCCCAGUGAGGAACAUAAUUAGUUGUACUUUUCUAUAACCUCAGUCUCAUGAUUCUUUAGGUGGAUGAAUUCAUGAUGUAAAGACAUUUUCAACAAUAAAAGUGCAGGGAUAUCACUGGGACUAAAAUGAAAGCCAGUUAAGAAUUAUUUGUCUCAAAACAGGCAAAGGUCCAAUGGAGAGCCAAUAAAGCCAUCUAGACUGUAGUGCCAAAGCAAACUUUUGUGCACUACUGCAUUACUGGACUGGAGGUCCAGGGUGCCCACUAUCAUCAAUGGAGGAAAAUAUAAAAGACUCCAGAUGUCCAAUUCAAUCCUUAUUUGGAUGUGGGGUCCUCCAAAAGACAGUUCUGUAAGCAAGCUAGCAUGCACCCAAAUAGGGUGAGAAACUAUACUGAAAAUAUGCUCUGCUCCCCACAUCUGAGGACUUUCUGCCCUUCCCAUGCUUUGCUGAAGGUCGUGGAUCUGAAGGAGGAUGUGAAAUGUCUUGCAACAGGGCCAGGGAAGGAGAUAUGGAGGCCUGAAAAAAUGCCUUUUGAUUCAAAAUGGAUCCUGGAUGAUUCAGACUUCAUUACUAAGUCAGUGUUCCUCACCUGUAGUUCUCCUGGGUCCUGCAUGCAGGGAGUUCAUGUGACUGAUGCCCAGAUCCCAGGAUUGCUCCUCACACUGCCAAAUAGAUCAGACAAGAGCAGGAGGCACUGAACAAUCUAUAAAGUUGUAUGAUGGGAACUAUGAGGAUCUGAGCUGCUCCUAUCUUCACUUUGAAGGAGCAGGGGACUGGAGAAGAAAAGAGCCUCACCUCAGACUGCUCUCCAACUCACAUUCCCAGCAGCAGCCAGAAGACGAGGGACAGAGAUGAGAAAUACCCCAUUCCACUCAGAAACUAGGAAGAAGGGAUAAUAGAGGGGGAAACAACAGUCUCACAGCCAGUUAGUUAUCCAGUUAGUUAUGCAACAUUAACAAAUGCAACAGCAAGGCUUUGUACCCUUACUACUUUGUGGCUCCCACAAAGCCAUUAAAAGACCAUACAGGUCUUCAGCUCUUAAAGGCACAUACCACGGAUUUGAUGGUACAGACCUGUGAAGGGAAUCUAAGUACGUCUAUUGCUAAUCAAAUUCAGACUAUACACAUUGUAUGGAAAUAACUUUUAAUUUAAAAAACCUUGCAUUGAAGAUUAUUGUAUCAGACAUUGAGGCAAAAUUUGAGUUUAAUUUGCUGGACAAACCAGUGUUAAAAAAAGGAUUUAAAAUAAAUCAGAAUGUGCAAUAAACUACAAUGUAGCAUAGGCAGUAGUGUUGAAACUUGACUGAACUUUUUUCUAAGGUCCAGCGUAUAUUUCCCAAUCUGACAGGAAAAAGUUUAAGUUUGACACUACUAACGGGUCAUCUGUCAGUAUUGGAUAUUACAAGCUGAGGAAAAAAUUUGUACAAGAACAGAGACUCCUAUAUAGUUGCCUUCAACUGUUGUACACAGAAAAACUUCCUGCUGACAGUGGUUUAUACAUACGUGCUACUGGUGUCGAAUUAUUGUUCUGCUACAAGAAUACUGCUAUAUCGUCAAUUCUUGUAUGCGUCGUCUUCUAUUAGCAUCACUUGAGGAUGCAGAUAAAUUCUAAAUACAGUAAUUCAGAAUGUAUGAGUUUAAACAAUUUGCUUUUAUUUUCUUAGAGUGUAAUGGCUGGGAAUUUAAAAAUCAAUCUGUAUUUAGAAACAUUAUGAAAGGUUUUUUUUAAGCCCUUCUGAUGUCCUUAUUAACAAGGUUUUCCUUUCUGGUUAGUCACUCUGCUUUUGCAUACUUGGUAGAACCUUGCAAGGUAUUGCUUAGAAAUCGUAACAACUAUACUUGUUGGUAAGAUACACAGCACACAGUUAUAAGCAGCAUUAGCUACUGCAGGUCUACGAGUUAGGUCUCCAAAUAUCUGAUGAUCCAAAAUGAAAUUCAGAGCUGCAUCUUCAUUUAAUUCAAUCUUCGUUUCCUCACCACUCCUAGGCUUCUCUGCUCCCCAUGUGACUGAAAUAGAAAACUGUCUACCUUUCAUAUAGUAGAGAAAUCAACUAUGGAAAUAUAGUGGUAUAUUUGUGUGUUAGUGUUUGAGGAUUUCUGCAUGAAACUAACAAUAGAGUUGAAUGAGUGACUCAUUUUAAGCCAAAUAUAAGGCUUCUGAAAGUGUCAUUUAAAAACUACUGGUAGUUAAAUAUUCAAAGGGAUUUCAGACAAGGCAGGUAUUUGCCACAUGCUCAUGCCACCAAAGGAAACAAUUUGAAAUUACCCCCUCCUCCUCACUGUCUUUUCAAGUAGUUUUUCUGUGUUUUGAAGUUGUUUGUUUAAAGGAAUAAAGUGUGUUCUGCUGUCCCAGAAUCCAUCAGAACCAUAAACACAUUUGAAAGAAAAAAAGGAAGAAUAUUAAAGAACGUGGCAAGAUGACAACAGAAAGCAGUAAACCGUGCCAGCUAUUUAGGUGUGCCCACUUUCAGCACAGGGAAUACUAGACUUCCAGCUCGAAAGAAUUAGUUUCUCUUGUGGUUCAGGAAGAAGAAAGUGUUGCGUUUGGGAUUUUAUCCUGCCUGUUACAAAGCAAGAAAGAAAAUAUAUUAUAUGCUGCUAAUGUACAGUAUUUGAAUGGUGCUGUUAUUUCUUGUGUGAACAACAGAGAUUUUACCUUA